rnacentral:rRNA from 1 species
UACGAAGGGGGCUAGCGUUGCUCGGAUUGACUGGGCGUAAAGGGCGCGUAGGCGGUUCGUACAGUCAGACGUGAAAUUCCUGGGCUCAACCUGGGGGCUGCGUUUGAUACGUGCGGACUUGAGUGCGGAAGAGGGUCGUGGAAUUCCCAGUGUAGAGGUGAAAUUCGUAGAUAUUGGGAAGAACACCGGUGGCGAAGGCGGAUUCCUGGACCAGUUCUGACACUGAGGAGCGAAAGCUAGGGGAGCAAACAGG